rnacentral:rRNA from 1 species
GAUGAACGCUAGCUACAGGCUUAACACAUGCAAGUCGAGGGGAAACGGCAUUGAGUGCUUGCACUGAAUGGACGUCGACCGGCGCACGGGUGAGUAACGCGUAUCCAACCUUCCCAUAACUAAGGGAUAACCUGCCGAAAGGCAGACUAAUACCUUAUGUAAUUCUUAGAUGACAUCAGAAGAGAAUGAAAGAUUUAUCGGUUAUGGAUGGGGAUGCGUCUGAUUAGCUUGUUGGCGGGGUAACAGCCCACCAAGGCGACGAUCAGUAGGGGUUCUGAGAGGAAGGUCCCCCACAUUGGAACUGAGACACGGUCCAAACUCCUACGGGAGGCAGCAGUGAGGAAUAUUGGUCAAUGGGCGAGAGCCUGAACCAGCCAAGUAGCGUGCAGGAAGACGGCCCUAUGGGUUGUAAACUGCUUUUGUAUGGGGAUAAAGUCAAUCACGUGUGAUUGUUUGCAGGUACCAUACGAAUAAGGACCGGCUAAUUCCGUGCCAGCAGCCGCGGUAAUACGGAAGGUUCGGGCGUUAUCCGGAUUUAUUGGGUUUAAAGGGAGCGUAGGCCGGAGAUUAAGUGUGUUGUGAAAUGUAGACGCUCAACGUCUGACUUGCAGCGCAUACUGGUUUCCUUGAGUACGCACAACGUUGGCGGAAUUCGUCGUGUAGCGGUGAAAUGCUUAGAUAUGACGAAGAACUCCGAUUGCGAAGGCAGCUGACGGGAGCGCCACUGACGCUUAAGCUCGAAGGUGCGGGUAUCGAACAGG